GAAAUGCAUGGCUUGUUGAGAUUAAAGAUGAAGAAACUCAAGCUGCCGUGAGACUACUUACUGAGGCCUCCGGGCGACCUCGAGAAGUUGAAACUAUAUGGAAUAACUUCUGUGUGGCUUCCAGAUCAUCUGAUGAAAAAUGGUUUGAUUUCGAUUGCAAAACUGGUUACCGAUAUGUGUGUCAAUCGGAUAAAUCUUGGAUCAUUUUCAACAAUGAGUUAACUCUUCAAAUUAUAUCAAGUCCUGUAAAAACAUUUUCUGAGUCCCAACAAGCUUGUGCAAAAAACGGAUCGACACUCGUAAAUAUAAAGACAGACGCUCUCAAUUCAUUCAUCGACGAAAG